CCUACGGGAGGCAGCAGUGAGGAAUAUUGGUCAAUGGCCGAGAGGCUGAACCAGCCAAGUCGCGUGAGGGAAGACGGCCCUACGGGUUGUAAACCUCUUUUGUCGGGGAGCAAAGCGGACCACGUGUGGUUCAUUGAGAGUACCCGAAGAAAAAGCAUCGGCUAAAUCCGUGCCAGCAGCCGCGGUAAUACGUAGGGGGCAAGCGUUCUCCGGAUUUACUGGGUGUAAAGGGAGCGUAGACGGUGCAGCAAGUCUGAUGGGAAAGGUCGGGGCCCCACCCCGGGACUGCAUUGGAAACUGUUGAACUGGAGUACAGGAGAGUUAAGCGGAAUUCCUAGUGUAGCGGUGAAAUGCGUAGAUAUUAGGAGGAACACCAGUGGCGAAGGCGGCUUACUGGACUGUAACUGACGUUGAGGCUCGAAAGCGUGGGGAGCAAACAGGAUUAGAUACCCGAGUAGUC
rnacentral:rRNA from 1 species